rnacentral:rRNA from 1 species
AACGAACGCUGGCGGCAUGCCUAACACAUGCAAAUCGAACGAGAUCUUCGGGUCUAGUGGCGCACGGGUGCGUAACGCGUGGGAAUCUGCCCUUUGGUUCGGAACAACAGUUGGAAACGACUGCUAAUACCGGAUGAUGACGAAAGUCCAAAGAUUUAUCGCCAGAGGAUGAGCCCGCGUAGGAUUAGCUAGUUGGUGUGGUAAAGGCGCACCAAGGCGACGAUCCUUAGCUGGUCUGAGAGGAUGAUCAGCCACACUGGGACUGAGACACGGCCCAGACUCCUACGGGAGGCAGCAGUGGGGAAUAUUGGACAAUGGGCGAAAGCCUGAUCCAGCAAUGCCGCGUGAGUGAUGAAGGCCUUAGGGUUGUAAAGCUCUUUUACCCGGGAUGAUAAUGACAGUACCGGGAGAAUAAGCUCCGGCUAACUCCGUGCCAGCAGCCGCCGUAA